ensembl:lncRNA LINC02532 long intergenic non-protein coding RNA 2532
AGAAUAUUGUGCAACAUGGUUAUGGGUACUACAGUGGAUGUGAGUGUGUAGACCUUGUACAAUAGAGCUUAUAGGCUAAUGAGAAGACAGGAAGAAACAACAGGAACACAUAUAGCUGGAAUGCAGAUGGGAUCUGUGCUACUUACGCUAGCCAUGGGAUGAUUAGAACAAGAUAAGAGACAUGAGGAAGACUUCUUCAAGGAGGUGCUCAAGCCAUGUUUUGGAAAAGAGAACUCAAGGUCUGGCAGGGAGAAAGGAGCAAGGGCAAGUAGAGCUGCAGCUGUCUGGCGCCACUGUAAUGCUGUCUCCUCCUCUGAGUGAGUUCAUCCUGGAAACAUUUUCUCCCAUAAGACAUGCACAGGUCUUACGUUUACAUGUUUCACUGAAAGAAAUUUGAUUCCACUGCUGGGAUGACAAGGAAGACUGAAGAAACCUAAUCCUAGGUGCUGCCACUGGGACAAACAAGAAGCACCAGACACAGUGCUGUUUUAGGGUCCUCUUCUCCCUGAAGGCUGUCACAGUUCCUGUGCAGAGAGAGAGGGCACUGCAGCACCCAGGCGCUGACUGCCUUUUGUCAGUCUCAUUUGCAGGCCCCCAGCUGGAGAACCCAGGAGGAAGAGGAAAAAAGUUUUUUCCUCCUCUACACUCCCCAUGCAUGACUAAAGAGUAGGAGGAGUCAGCAAGGCAGACAUAUAUAGUACCCAGGAGGUGGACAAACAACUGCCUUGGUGGAAACUCUGUCCUUUCUGGACUUAUCCUGGUGCCACUGAGACUGUGCAGGUCCCACACUUACAGGGAAAGCAUCACCCGAAAGUGAGAAUGCCUAGAGGCAGGAAUCAUGGAGGCUUCCUUAACCGUCUGUCUGCAACAGCAGGUGCUAGAGAUGACACUGCAGAGUAGAGAACAAAGGAAUCUUAGUAAUUGUUCAAUCCAAUCUCCACACUUUAAAGAUGAAGAAACUGGUAUUGAGAAAAAUACACAGCUUAUCCAAGGUUGCACUGCUGGUUGGUAGCUGAGAUGAAUUUAGAACCCACAUCUGAUGACUACACCAUAUUGCUCCCAGUUUUCCUGUCUGUUCCACAUGUAAAAGUCUGACUCUUCACUUCUCCUUUGAGUAUAUAGACUUUUAACAUUUUUGUAUGUCAAGAUGGACUUUUCCUCAUACCCAGCCCCUGCCUUUUCUCCUCCCUUCAUACCUUGCAGGAUCUUUAACAGAAUUUAAAAGGAGUUUUUUGUUUUGUUUUGAUGUAUCUAAUAAAAGUCAAGGGAGGGAGAGGGCCAGUAUAAGCAAGAGUACAGUUUCCUAGUUUGUAGAUGCGGUAGUCUGAGGAAUCAGAAACACACAAAGGUUUGGAGAACUGGUACAUGCUCCCAGGUGGGAAGCCAGGACUCUUGGUAGGAUCUUGAGGACAAGGCAAAGGACAAUAAGAGAGCGAGGGGAUCCUAGAGGUGGAAUCAAGGAAGAGAAACUAGAGAGAGAAAAAGGAACUGGCUAUCCAUCCAUGAUGGAUCCUGUGUGGACUGAUGGGUGGCUUGGCAUCAUCCUUUAGUAGACUUCAUGUGGUUGAAUAAUUGGCCAAUGGAAGGAAUUUCUUUUUUGGUAACAGACUCUGUGUGUACAGUUAUGGGUCUUAAUUUAUAAUAAAAGGUUACAUUGAAAAUU